rnacentral:rRNA from 1 species
AUUGAACGCUAGCGGGAUGCUUUACACAUGCAAGUCGAACGAGUGGCGGACGGGUGAGUAAUAUAUCGGAACGUGCCCAAUCUCGGGUGAUAACUACUCCAAAGAGUGGCUAAUACCGCAUACUAUUGUAACUGCCGAUAUCGGAUUAGCUAGUUGGUGGGGUAAAGGCUCACCAAGGCAACGAUCCGUAGCUGGUUUUAGAGGACGACAAGCCACAAUGGGACUGAGACACGGCCCAGACGCCUACGGGAGGAAGCAGUGGGGAAUUUUGGACAAUGGGGGAAAGCCUGAUCCAGCCAUCCCGCGUGUAUGAGAAGGCCUUAGGGUUGUAAAGUACUUUUGGCAGAGAAGCGGUAUCUGCAGAAUAAGCACCGGCUAACUACGUGCCAGCAGCCGCGGUAAUUC